AUUGAACGCUGGCGGCAUGCCUUACACAUGCAAGUCGAACGGCAGCACGGGUGCUUGCACCUGGUGGCGCGUGGCGCACGGGUGAGUAAUACAUCGGAACAUGUCCUGUAGUGGGGGAUAGCCCGGCGAAAGCCGGAUUAAUACCGCAUACGCUCUGCGGAUGAGAGCGGGGGACCUUCGGGCCUCGCUCUCUGGGGUUGGUCGAUGGCGGAUUAGCUAGUUGGUGGGGUAAAGGCCUACCAAGGCGACGAUCAGUAGCUGGUCUGAGAGGACGACCAGCCACACUGGGACUGAGACACGGCCCAGACUCCUACGGGAGGCAGCAGUGGGGAAUUUUGGACAAUGGGCGAAAGCCUGAUCCAGCAAUGCCGCGUGUGUGAAGAAGGCCUUCGGGUUGUAAAGCACUUUUGUCCGGAAAGAAAUCCUUGGCGCUAAUACAGUCGGGGGAUGACGGUACCGGAAGAAUAAGCACCGGCUAACUACGUG
rnacentral:rRNA from 1 species